rnacentral:rRNA from 1 species
AAGUCGAACGAGCGCUUCGGCGCGAGUGGCGGACGGGUGAGUAACACGUAGGAAUCUACCUGCAGGAGGGGAAUAACAGAGGGAAACUUCUGCUAAUACCCCGUAGGGCGCAAGCUGAAAGAACUUCGCCUGCAGAUGAGCCUGCGUCGGAUUAGCUAGUUGGUGGGGUAAAGGCCUACCAAGGCGACGAUCCGUAGCUGGUCUGAGAGGAUGAUCAGCCACACUGGGACUGAGACACGGCCCAGACUCCUAUGGGAGGCAGCAGUGGGGAAUUUUCCGCAAUGGGCGAAAGCCUGACGGAGCAAUACCGCGUGAGGGAGGAAGGCCCUUGGGUUGUAAACCUCUUUUCUCAGGGACGAACAGAUGACGGUACCUGAGGAAUCAGCAUCGGCUAACUCCGUGCCAGCAGCCGCGGUAAGACGGAGGAUGCAAGCGUUAUCCGGAAUUAUUGGGCGUAAAGCGUACGUAGGCGGCUUUUCAAGUCUGGGGUUAAAGCCCACAGCUUAACUGUGGACAGGCCUUGGAAACUGAAAGGCUGGAGUGGGGUAGGGGUAGCGGGAA